rnacentral:rRNA from 1 species
GAUCCUGGCUCAGGACGAACGCUGGCGGCGUGCUUAACACAUGCAAGUCGAACGAGAAUCUACUGAAAGAGUUUUCGGACAAUGGAUGUAGAGGAAAGUGGCGGACGGGUGAGUAACGCGUGAGGAACCUGCCUUGAAGAGGGGGACAACAGUUGGAAACGACUGCUAAUACCGCAUGACGCAUAGAGGUCGCAUGAUCUUUAUUGCCAAACGAAUUUAUUCGCUUCUAACGAAUAGGCCGUCCGCCG